rnacentral:lncRNA from 1 species
GACUAGCAGCUUGAAGUCAGCCAUGUGGGGACAUUGUAACCCAGGGAUUGCUGGAUGCCGUAAGAGCCAGUUCCGGGUUCAGCAGCAACGCACCUGCUGGAAAUGAGGACCAAGGAGACCAAGAGCAUUUCAGGGCCAGCUGCAUAGUGGCUGGGAUGUGCUGAGGAGGACUUCCCAGAAAGGUUUGAAUCGGACUUCCAGACUGGUCUAUGUGUCCUUUGCUGCAUCGGAAGGACGUGGUCUGCAAACCGUUCAAUGUUGGGCUUUGCCGAGGGGCUUUCUCUUAUCUCCCACUCUCCUUCCUCAGAACAGAAUUCAGCUGGUUUCAAUGUGGGGAUUAACGUAACCCAAGUGAGCAAUCUACUCUUCUGCAUGGAGAAUACUCUCAGGUCUGUUGUUUAUCUGUCUUCCGCCUACCCUACCCUAAUCUUCGGAGCUUAAAAGGCUUACGAUUCUUCUUAGGCCCGGAAGGUGCGUUGUUUAGACGUGUUGUCUCCAGAUAGAGCUGUUCCACCCAGAUGGGAGCAAGGAUCGCCACACAAGGGAAAAUACAGACCUCCCAGUCGCCCCCUGUGGGUGGAGCUAUAGACUCAGUAAACACUGGCCUGGCAGAGGAGACUUCUCGGUGGAGCUGCCUCCAGGUUGUGCUGGAGACUUGGGAGUACAGCCUUUCUGAGUGCUCACCUAUGCCAACGGGACGGCAGGGGCUUUAUGGUUAUGCAGCGGUUCAUGUUAUGUAGCGGCCUGUGAGUAGCCUCCCAUCCAUGCUCCUGUCGCUGACCCCAAUAAAUUCGUCGGUUCAGCUCGAUUUGGGCAGACUGUUUCUUUGGUGGCCCAUUGUC